ensembl:lncRNA
GUUUACAGCACGCUGGUUUUCACAACAUGUUUACAGCACGCUGGUUUUCAGAGCAUUUUAGAAGGUUUACAGCACGCUGGUUUUCAGAGCAUUUUAGAAUGUUUACAGCACGCUGGUUUUCAGAGCAUUUUAGAAUGUUUACAGCAUGCUGGUUUUCAGAGCAUUUUAGAAUGUUUCAGCACGCUGGUUUUCACAACAUUUUACAGCACGCUGGUUUUUCACAACAUGUUUACAGCACGCUGGUUUUCACACACAUGUUUACAGCACGCUGGUUUUCAGAGCAUUUUUACAGCACGCUGGUUUUCAGAGCAUGUUUACAGCACGCUGGUUUUCAGAGCAUGUUUAAGCACGCUGGUUUUCAGAGCAUUUUAGAAUGUUUACAGCACGCUGGUUUUUACAACAUGUUUAGAAUGUUUACAGCAUGCUGUUUUCACAGCUUUAUAGAAUGUUUACAGCACGCUGGUUUCACAGCAUUUUAUAGAAUGUUUACAGCACGCUGGUUUUCACAACAUGUUUACAGCACGCUGGUUCACAGCAUUUUUAGAAUGUUUACAGCAGCUGGUUUUUACAGCAUUUUAUAGAAUGUUUACAGCACGCUGGUUUUUACAGCAUUUUAUAGAAUGUUUACAGCACGCUGGUCUUUACAACAUGUUUAGAAUGUUUACGGCACGCUGGUCUUCACAACAUCUUGAAUAUUACCUGUAAUGUUCACCUCCUGUAGCCUAACUGUCAUCUAAAACAAAUGUCAUCCURCACCUAAAUUACAAGGCUUGGAUUUACACUAAACUAUUUCAUAUUUCAGCACUUAAAGGGCAUGUACACAAUCUGGUGUACAUUGUCUACUGGUGUCAUUUUAAACUGGGAACGUACAGCACCUUCACAAAGGAUUCACACCCCAUGACUUUUUCCACAUUUUGUUGCUUUACAGCCUGAAUUUGAAAUGGAUUCAAUKCAGAUUUUGUGUAACUCGCCUAAACAAAAGACCCCAUAAUGUCUUGAGUCAUUAAGUAUUCAACCCGUUUGUUCUGGCAAGUCUAAAUAAGUUCAGAAGUAAACAUUUGCUUAACAAGUUACAUAAUAAGUAGAAUGGACUCACUCUGUGUGCAAUAAUAGUGUUUAACAUGAUUUUUGAUUGACUACCUCAUCUCUGUACCCCACACAUACAAUUACCCAUCCACUGAAUUAUAAAUGUUUUGUGUCAGCGAUGCUGUCUGGUAGUGUCUCCAACUGCUGCUUCAUCGUGCUGUAGACCAGAAACUGGCAACCGCACACACACACUACACACACACUACACACACAACACGCACCACACACUACACACACGCACACACGCACACACUACACACACCACACCACACACGCGCACACACACACACGAGAAAGUCCAGACAGAGUCCACUCCAGCUCUACUUUGCUCUGCAGAGCCAGACCCAUUGGCAUUUCCUAUUGUGCUGACCAAAUAUAGAGCUAAAUAUUCCCCUCCGUGCACCAGUUCAUGGGGUGGAGUGUGUGUGUGUGUGCGCAUGUGUAGUGUGUGUGUGUGUGUAAACGUCCACCCUGCCCAGGGCUUAAUGACCACAGUAAUCAGGACUGGGACUAACAGAGCUCUGAUUUAUGGACCUCAGAGGGAAUGUGUGACUUGUGUAAAAGGUCUCGGUACUCGCCUACUGAACAGGAAAAGGCAGUUGAGAAAGUCAACAUGAAAAGUGACCCGAUUUGCAUAUGACAUCAGAGUGGAAUCUUGUUCCAAAAAAAGUGCUGAACUUGUUAGAAUUUUGAUGAACUAUAUUAGAAUAAUUGUGUACUGUGCUGUUAUAUGCUAGCUUAUAUAAACCAUUUUCAGACUGUUAUGUGGUAGCUCAGGACUAGCUUACAUACAGAGCCAAGCAGCCUACACAGUCGACACCUCCUUGGCUCAAGGACCAUGAGAAAAGAGAACACACAGACCUGAUCUGUCUGCUCCAGGGCCACUGGAGAGAGUUGAGGGGCCGCAGUUGCUCUCUCCACUUCAGUAGUAGAGGACUUGAUUCCCUGGUGAGAGGAGACCUCCAUGGAGCCCUAUCUGCUUUCAAAAGGGGCUAUGAACUCCACGGCUGUCACGGUCACUCCGUCAACACACACACAUAAGCAACGCACACACACACAAAAGUGUGAAUACACACAGAAGCACAUGUACACAGAAGCGCACGUACACACAGAAUCGUGCAGUCACCCAGUCGUGAGCAUGCAUGCACACACACUCCCUAAAGCCGCCCUUUGGCCUUUUUGCAGUGCGAUCCCAUUUGACAUGAUAUUUGACUCCCUGUUGCCGCAGCACUAGUUCCACGUAGAGUGAUGAGCACUGAAAGGGUGGGAGCCCCAGGAGGAGGGCUCUCCCUCCACCCUGACCCGACCCUCACACCCUGGGGACAGCAGCAUGGUGUCACCACCUCCACCCUGACCUGACCCUCACACCCUGGGGACAGCACAGCUGGUGUCACACCUCCACCCUGACCUGACCCUCACACCCUGGGGACAGCAGCAUGGUGUCACCACCUCCACCUGACCCUCAAACAUGGGGAAGCAGCAUGGUGUCACCACCUCCACCCUCCCUGACCCUCACAAACCCUGGGGACAGCAGCGUGGUGUCACCACUCCCCCUGACCCUCACACCUGGGGACAAGCCGUGGUGUCACCACCUCCACCCUGAGGACAGCAGCAUGGUGUCACCACCUCCACCUGACCCUCACCCCUGGGACCGCAGCAUGGUGUCAUCACCUCCACCCUGACCCUCACCCCCCUGGGGACAGCAGCAUGGUGUCACCACCUCCACCCUGACCCUCACACCCUGAGCCCGAGGCCAGCGUGGUGUCACCACCUCCACCUCUGAGGACAGCGCGGUGUGUCACCACCUCCCCCCUGAGGGACAGCAGCGUGGUGUCCACCUACCUCCACCUUGGGGACCAGCAGCGUGGUGUCACCACCUACACCCUGCGACAAGCAGUGUGGUGUCACCACCUCCACACCUGACAUAGCAGCGUGGUGUCACCACCUUCCACCCUGAGGACCAGCCAGCGUGGUGUCACCACCUCCACCCUGAGGACAGGCAGCGUGGUGUCACCACCUCCACCCUGAGGACAGCAGCGUGGUGUCACCACCUCCACCCUGAGGACAGCAGCGUGGUGUCACCACCUCCACCCUGAGACGUCCAGCAGACAGAAGAACAGGAGAUGUAGAUCGAGGUCCUGUAGUGCACUAUAUAGGGAAUAGGGUGCUAUUUGGGAUGCACAUAAUUGCCUCCAUGACUCAUUAUCUGGGCAAGUCUGGUCAAAAUGUGGACCUAUCGGCCCUGGUCAAAAGUAGUGCACAAUAUAGGGAAUAGGGUGCCAUUUGGGAGGCAGUGCACUAUAUACGCAAUAGGGUGCCAUUUUGGGACAGACACACUAAGGCAGAGGGACGUGUAGGGAGGGUGGAGCUAGAGCUGCUUGCCUGUCUGAUUGGUCCAUGAUUUUAAUCUGCACACUGAUUACUGUCAUCAGCAGUAGCAGGUCAACGUUUGGAAUCUGKAACGUUUUUUUUGUUAACCAUGUUUUGUUCCAGUCAGGGAAUAUGCUGAGCUUUCCAUCUCCUCCUAACAGCAUGACAAACUACUGGAUACCAAUAGUCAUGCCACUGUAAGCCUGCUUGUCUGUCUGCAAUUCCUUAUUAAAGUUCUCAAUAUGCUGACUUACUGUCUCAAAGAUGUCGCUGUGGGAAAGCAAAGCGGCGGUCGUGAGUUCAAGAGAAAACCAAUCAGAAAACUGCUUAGCGUCAACAUGGAAAUUACAUUUACUGUUCUGUUACAAACAGGGUYGCCCUUCUCUCGCCACAGACUGAGAGAAAUUAUCAUUUCUUUGCUCCGGAUAUCCAGACCGCAGCGAUAGUUUUACUCAUGACGCAUUUCUACCAGGAAUUGCCGCAAGGAAGGACUAUGGCACUAUCUAUGAAUUGUAAUACAGUUUGGUAAUGUAACAGAGAACCUUGGACAAUCACACCACUAACAUUAGUGGGCCGGUGUGAUUCAACAACAAGUAUAAUGAUCUUUAAUACAUUGAGGUUUGAAAAAACAUUCAUAUUAAGCAGAGAAAACUAAUUGGAGAAGUUCACCAAAAAAAAAAGUUGUUUUUUAAAUUUUCAAACAAACCUCUGUGAUAGAAAUAAAGGUGUGUUUUGGGGAAACAAAACUUUGUUUUCCAUUUAAAAUGAACGUUUGUUGUUAUUAUCCCCUCAUUAAACAGAUAAAUAUCUUUCCGGGGUCACAUGAAUGCAGAGUGAAUUAAGAUCUGAUGGAGUUGUAUCUCCAGCGCUUUGAUCUUGAAGAAAGGGUUCGGCCCUGGRAACAUGACAAGACAUGCUGCCUCUCCUCUCCUCUACAGGCCCUGGGGUCUGUUGGACUUGAAAGGAGAUGGAGUGUCACAKUGUCAUCGUCUCCAGCUGUGGAAAGGAUUAUUUUGACUUUAACUACCUGCAUUAACGUUUAAAUUACACAYACUUAUGAUACAGCCUAAGCCUUAUCAAUUGGUAAGGAAGAUAAACUAAGAUCAGAAAAGAAAAACAGAGUUUAUCUCUGAGUAAAAGCAGGAGAGUUGUAGAUAAUGACAAUAUGUCACAUUCUGUAGCUAUACAGAACAUUGUCAAUGUAGAGUGAGAAGUAGGCUAGAUUACAAUGUAACACAACCAAGACGCAAGGCAUCUAAUCAUUGCCAGCUUCCAAUUGGCUCAUUCACCACCCCCCUCCUCCCCAGGUCGUUGCAGUAAAUGAGAACGUGUUCUCAGUCAAAUGACCUGGUAAAAUAAGGGUUAAAUCAAAUAAAUGCAUGUAAUUACAAUGCAGCGCGUGCGUAAUGCCAACAUAGUUUACAAUGUAGCGCGUGCGUAAUGCCAACAUAGUUUACAAUGCAGCCAAAAUCAUUAACUUUAUGCAGAUUGGCUAAAUAAUGAAUUCACCUCAUGUUGGACAGUAAUGUGCGUUACUAUACAUUGCACUCUCAGCAGAAAAUAACAGGGAGGGAAUUGAUCUGUUCGUGUAUAACUGUACAGUAGCCUAUGAGAUAUAUUAGUGAGUUACAGCCUAUGUAUAUCAGGAAUAGGAGCGACAUGACACUUACAUUUACGAACAGAAAAAGUGUGCAGACCCAAAGCGCAUCCAUGUCACAGUUCUUCGCCGAUGGAAAAUCCCGUACAAUGAGUUGGCUAUACCCCUUCAAAAGUCUUUGGGACCAAAGAAGGCUUCAAUAGCCUACUCCGUGAGACGUAACCCAGGUAAAUGCCAAAAAAGCGCACCUAGGUUCCUAAAAACUCUUCACAGCUGUCAAGAAACCACUUUGAAAGUAACAAGAACACGACCAAAUGAGAGCAUUUUUWAAAACUGCAUCAAAGUAUCCUACACAUACGGCGGAAGAAAARUUGCCCCAAAACUCCGAGUGCCGCUUCUCUUCAGUCCGAGUGCCGCUUCUCUUCAGUCCGAGUGCCGCUUCUCUUCAGUCCGAGUGCCGCUUCUCUUCAGUCCGAGU